rnacentral:rRNA from 1 species
CAGUAGCCGCGGUAAUACGAGGGGGGCAAGCGUUGUUCGGAAUUAUUGGGCGUAAAGGGUGCGUAGGCGGCUUGACAAGUCUUGUGUGAAAUCUAUUGGCUCAACCCAUAGUCUGCACGGGAAACUGUCGGGCUUGAGAAUGGGAGAGGUGAGUGGAAUUUCCGGUGUAGCGGUGAAAUGCGUAGAUAUCGGAAGGAACACCUGUGGCGAAAGCGGCUCACUGGACAAUAACUGACGCUGAUGCACGAAAGCUAGGGGAGCGAACAGGAUUAGAGACCCGCGUAGUCCCUGUCUCUUAUAC